GUGGGGAAUAUUGGACAAUGGGCGAAAGCCUAAUCCAGCCAUGCCGCGUGUGUGAAGAAGGUCUUCGGAUUGUAAAGCACUUUAAGUUGGGAGGAAGGGCAGUAAGUUAAUACCUUGCUGUUUUGACGUUACCGACAGAAUAAGCACCGGCUAACUUCGUGCCAGCAGCCGCGGUAAUACGAAGGGUGCAAGCGUUAAUCGGAAUUACUGGGCGUAAAGCGCGCGUAGGUGGUUUUGUAAGUUGGAGGGGAAAUCCCCGGGCUCAACCUGGGAACUGCCUCCAAAACUGCAUGACUAGAGUACGGUAGAGGGUAGUGGAAUUUCCUGUGUAGCGGUGAAAUGCGUAGAUAUAGGAAGGAACACCAGUGGCGAAGGCGACUACCUGGACUGAUACUGACACUGAGGUGCGAAAGCGUGGGGAGCAAACAGGAUUAGAUACCCCAGUAGUCC
rnacentral:rRNA from 1 species